GCUGUUACUGCUUGCUGUUAUUGUUUGAUUGAUGAGUUAAUGUUAGUAAACACUUGGAUUGUUAAUUUGUUAGCUGGAUUUUUAAUUUUUUUUUUUAUCAACUCAUUUUGAUAGCUAGUACUUUUCUUUGGAUUUUCUACUUUUGUUAAGACUUUAUGUUGACCAGCAAAAGAGCAAUUGAUGUUUCAAUUUUUUGAUUAACCACCUGUUUUUUGGCGGGUAAAUUUAUCCGUCGGAUAAAUCCGGGCCCGAAUUCUACCAAUGAUGGGUGCUAACAUUUAAC
rnacentral:lncRNA from 1 species